GUCUCCGUGGCGCAAUGGUAGCGCGUUGGACUUCUACCUUCCCCCGUCACCUCGCUCACGAGCGAGAAGUGAUCUGUGGCAAUCCAAAGGCUGCGGGUUCGAGCCCCGCCGGAGAUG